rnacentral:snRNA from 1 species
UCGGCUUCUCGGCCUUUUGGCUAAGAUCAAGUGUAGUAUCUGUUCUUAUCAGUUUAAAAAGAUUCCCAGGUGAUUCUAAUGUGCAGCCAAGGUUGAGAACCACUGAUCUAGAAUAUCAUAAUAAUAAAUAAGAUGCAUAAGCAUGACUGAAACAUUA